rnacentral:rRNA from 1 species
AGAAACAAUCUCCAAAAUCUUUUUUAUAUCUAUUAUUAUCUCUUUUUUUCUUAGUACUGUAAAGGACUUAAAUCAAUAUUAUAAAGCCAAAAUUAUUUUUUUUUACCUUUUGCAUCGUGGCUUAGCAACCUUAAUCCAAAUUUGGUUUUUCUCGAAAUUAGACGAGCUGUUUAAAUUUUGUUGUACGAACCCACCGUCUUAUGUUUCACAAUAUCCGGAAAAAUUUUAAUCAGUGGCUACACACCAUCCGCGUCUAAUUAUAGCUAGCUCUCUGGGAACACUAUAUUAGUAGUAAUAAUAUUUUUUAAAUAAAUAUUUAUACACUAUAAAGGGGAUAAGCCCUUUUUUCUUUCCUAUAUUUAUUUUUUAAGUUUCUUAUUUAAGUAGGCUUCACACCUGCCAUCUUUAUAAAAACGUAACAGUUAUUAAUUUACAAACUAACUUAAAUUCAUCAUACAACAUUAUGGUUUAUAUACCAGAGUAUUUUAUAAAACAAACCAAUUAAAUAUAUUAUGCUAAGAUUAGUAUUUAUACAUAUAUUAUUUUAACCAAAUUAAAUUUUUUUUAUCUUUUAUUUUGUAAUCAAACAAUUUAAUUUUAAGGAACUCGGCAAACCUGACUUCCGACUGUUUACCAAAAACACUGCCUUUUGUUUGUAAUAAAAGGUCCAUCCUGCCCAGUGACCUACGGGUUUAACGGCCGCGGUACCCUGGCCGUGCUAAGGUAGCGUGAUAAUUCGCCCUUUAAUUGUGGGCUUGUAUGAACGGAUAAACGAGAAGUCUGCUGUCUCAAAAUUAUUUAUAAAAAUUGGCCUUCAGGUGAAGAGACCUGAAUCUAAAUAAAGGACAAGAAGACCCCGUAGAGCUUUAGUCCAUAAAACUAUAAAAUUUCAUUCUAUUUUAUAAUAAAAUAAUACUAUUUUUUGUUUGGGCUUGGCUGGGGCGGCAAAGGAAAAUUAAUCUUCCAUUUUUAUCUAUUAAGCUCUAUUUGGUUUAUACACCUUAAAUUAACUGAUCCUCACAAGAACAUAAUAAAAAGCUACCUCGGGGAUAACAGAUUAAUCCUUCUUGAGAGUCCGCAUUGACAGAAGGGAUUGACACCUCGAUGUUGGCUUAGGAUACCCAGAGGGUCAGCAGCAGCCCUCAACGGUAGGUUUGUUCAACCUUUAAAAUCCUACAUGAGCUGAGUUCAGACCGGCGUAAGCUAGGUCAGCUUCUAUCCUUAUUUUAUACCAACAGAUUUAAUUGUACGAAAGGACCUUAAUUCUAAAACAUUUUUUCUAAACGAUCUCCUCUAAGUUAUUUUUUAAACAUUCUUUA